rnacentral:rRNA from 1 species
GGCUUAGAGUUUGAUCAUGGCUCAGGACGAACGCUGGCGGCAUGCCUAACACAUGCAAGUCGAACGGAGACAGCAAUGUCUUAGUGGCGAACGGGUGAGUAACGCGUGAGCAACCUGCCUCGUACAACGGGAUACCUGCGAGAAAUUGCAGUUAAUACGGUAUAAGACCACGCCGUCGCAUGACGGAGGGGUAAAAGGGAGCAAUUCCGGUAUGAGAUGGGCUCGCGUCGCAUUAGCUAGUUGGUGGGGUAACGGCCUACCAAGGCGACGAUGCGUAGCCGACCUGAGAGGGUAAUCGGCCACAUUGGGACUGAGAUACGGCCCAGACACCUACGGGUGGCAGCAGUGAGGAAUAUUCCGCAAUGGGCGAAAGCCUGACGGAGCAAUGCCGCGUGAAUGAAGAAGGUCUUCGGAUUGUAAAGUUCUUUAGUCAGGGACGAAGAAAGUGACGGUACCUGAAGAAUAAGCCCCGGCUAACUACGUGCCAGCAGCCGCGGUAAUACGUAGGGGGCAAGCGUUGUCCGGAAUGACUGGGCGUAAAGGGUGUGUAGGCGGUUUUGCAAGUUAGGAGUGAAAUACCCGGGCUUAACCCGGGUGCUGCUUUUAAGACUGUGAGACUUGAGUGCAGGAGAGGCUAUCG